AUUGAACGCUGGCGGCAUGCCUUACACAUGCAAGUCGAACGUGAAAGCGGGGCAACCCGCAAGUAGAGUGGCGGACGGGUGAGUAAUACAUCGGAACGUGUCCAGUAAUGGGGGAUAACCUAGCGAAAGUUAGGCUAAUACCGCAUACGAUCUGCGGAUGAAAGCGGGGGAUGCGGCACUAAAGGCUUUUGGCGAAGGUGGCCAAAGGUGAGUCAAGAGCUUUUAGUGCNGCACCUCGCGUUAUUGGAGCGGCUGAUGUCUGAUUAGCUAGUUGGUGAGGUAAAGGCUUACCAAGGCGACGAUCAGUAGCUGGUCUGAGAGGACGGCCAGCCACACUGGGACUGAGACACGGCCCAGACUCCUAC
rnacentral:rRNA from 1 species